AGAGUUUGAUCCUGGCUCAGAGCGAACGCUGGCGGCGUGCCUAACACAUGCAAGUCGAACGAGAAAGCCUUCGGGCAAGUAGAGUGGCGGACGGGUGAGUAACACGUGAGCAACCUGUCUCCGGGUCUGGAAUAACCUUCCGAAAGGGGGGCUAAUACCGGAUAAGACCACAGAGCCUAAUGGUUCAGCGGUAAAAGGUGGCCUCUCCAUGGAAGCUACCGUCUGGAGAUGGGCUCGCGGCCCAUUAGCUUGUUGGUGAGGUAACGGCUCACCAAGGCAACGAUGGGUAGCCGGCCUGAGAGGGUGAACGGCCACACUGGGACUGAGAUACGGCCCAGACUCCUACGGGAGGCAGCAGUGGGGAAUUUUGCGCAAUGGGGGAAACCCUGACGCAGCGACGCCGCGUGAAGGAUGAAGGCCCUAGGGUCGUAAACUUCUGUUAGGAGGGACGAACUACAGGGUUGCUAAUAUCUUCCCUGUUUGACGCUACCUCCAAAGAAAGCACCGGCUAACUCCGUGCCAGCAGCCGCGGUAAGACGGAGGGUGCAAGCGUUGCUCGGAAUCACUGGGCGUAAAGGGCGUGUAGGCGGGACAGUAAGUCGGAUGUGAAAGCCCUGGGCUCAACCCAGGAAGUGCAUUCGAAACUACUGUUCUUGAGUAUGGCAGAGAGAGUGGAA
rnacentral:rRNA from 1 species